rnacentral:rRNA from 1 species
UAGGGAAUCUUCGGCAAUGGACGAAAGUCUGACCGAGCAACGCCGCGUGAGUGAAGAAGGUUUUCGGAUCGUAAAACUCUGUUGUUAGAGAAGAACAAGGACGUUAGUAACUGAACAUCCCCUGACGGUAUCUAACCAGAAAGCCACGGCUAACUACGUGCCAGCAGCCGCGGUAAUACGUAGGUGGCAAGUGUUGUCCGGAUUUAUUGGGCGUAAAGCGAGCGCAGGCGGUUUCUUAAGUCUGAUGUGAAAGCCCCCGGCUCAACCGGGGAGGGUCAUUGGAAACUGGGAGACUUGAGUGCAGAAGAGGAGAGUGGAAUUCCAUGUGUAGCGGUGAAAUGCGUAGAUAUAUGGAGGAACACCAGUGGCGAAGGCGGCUCUCUGGUCUGUAACUGACGCUAAGGCUCGAAAGCGUGGGGAGCAAACAGG